rnacentral:lncRNA from 1 species
AAAGUGCUGGGAUUAUAGGUGUGAGCCACUGUGCCUAGCCUCUUUUCUUCCUUCGAAUCUCCACUUAAAAAUUAUUCUGUUAGAAGGGCCUUCCCUGACCUCUCCAUCUGAGUAGCUCCCCCAUUAUUUCAUAUCACAGCUUCCUUUCUGUUGUAGUGUAUGUUGUAUUUGUUUGUUGGUUUUAUUUUGGUUUUAGAGACAGGGUCUCACUCUGUUACUGAGGCUGGAGUGCAGCGGCACAAUCAUAGCUCAUUCUUCCACCUCAGCCUCCCAAGUAGCUGAGACUACAGGUACGUGUCACAAUGCCCAAAAUGUAAAAAAAAAAAUUUUACAUUUUUUUUUUUUUGUAAAGAUGGUGUCUUACUGUGUUGCUCAGGCUGGUCUUGAACUCCUGGCCUCAAGACCAAUCCCACCUUGGCACUGGGAUUACAGGCAUGAGCCACCAUGCCUGGCCCUAUUUUGCGUUUUGUAGCCAUUUAUUUGCAUGCUUCUGUACUAGACUCCAGUUCCCAAUCCUUCCAUGUGAAAGAGCCCCCUUCCUUGCCACAGUUCUCACUCUCCCUGCAUGAUCCAUGGCUAAGGUCACCAAAAACCUCCUUAUCACCGCAUUCUGUGGUUCCUUUGUCUUCCUCCUUCUCUAUCCCUCUGCAAUUCUUGACACCUCCACCUUCUUGGAAUGCUUCUCUCCACUGUCCUGGUUCCUGUUUCCUUGUAUAUCUGUCCACCUCCCCUCCUAGCCCUUAACUGUGGACAAACCCAGGGUGAUUCCCCGCCAUCUGCCUUUCUUGUCAACCAUGAACUAAUAUAGCUAAAAAGCACAAUGCCCAAUAGUAAGAAAAGUAAGUGUCAAGUUGGCUAGGCCAUGGGAAAAAAACAUUAUGCUUUUUGUUUCUCUGCAAGUAUUUUUUCAAUGGGAUUAAUACUGAAAUCAGUAGACUUUGAGUAAAGCAGAUUACCUUGCAUAAUGUGGGUGGGCCUUAACCAAUCAGAUGAAGGCCAUAAGAGGAAAAGACUGAACUCCCCUGAGCAAGAAGAAAUUCUGCCUUUGGACUUGAACUGCAACACCAGCUCUUCCCUGGGUCUCCAACCUGCCAACCUAUCCCUGCAGAUUUUGGACUUGCCAGCCUUUACACUCAUGCGAGCCAAUUCCUUAAAAUUUAAUCUCUCUUUCUCAUUGGCUCUGUUUCUCUGGAGAACCCUGACUAAUAGAGGAGGUGCUAAAUAAAUCUUAACUUAAAAAAUCCCAAACUCUUUCCUUAGUGAAAUCUUUCUCACAGAUCCAUAUAUGUUGGGUCUGAGAGUCAGGACACCCAAGUUCUAGUUCCAGGUCUGCCACUUGCUGGCUUGAUGAUCUUAUCCAACUCCCCCGACAUCUGUAAACCUGCUCCUCCCUCAGUCUUUCCCAUCUCCAUAAACAGCAUCUCCAGCCAUCCAGAUAAUCAGAUUAAAACCCCAAGAAGUAAUUCUUCUAGAUUGCUAUCUUUCCUUUAUUCGCCAUGCCUGAUCAUCAGCAAAUUGUUUCGCUUCCACCUCCAGAAUGGAUCCAUGUGUCAGACUCCAUCACCUGGUCCAAGCACCACUGUCGCCUGCCUGGGUGAUGCCUCAGACUCGUUGCUUAUCUUCCAGCUUCCGUUUUGCCCCCACAAUCCACAGCAGCCAGGGUGAAUUUUUAGAAAUAUAGAUCAGAUCAUAGCACUUGUACUGGUUUCCUAUUGCUGCUAUAACAAAUUAUAACAUAGUUGCUCCAAAUAACACAGGCUUAUUAUUUUACAGUUCUAGAGGCCAGAAGUCUAAAAUAGGUUGUUAGGGCUGCAUUCCUUCCAGAUACCUUGGUAAGAUGUUUCCUUGCCUUUUCCACCUUCUAGAAGCCACUUGCAUUCCCUGGUUCACAGCCCCUUACUUGCAUUCCUUUGACCUCCACUUCUGUCAUCACAUCUCCUCUGACUCUGACCCUCUUGUGCCCCUUUUAUAAGGACCCUUGUGCUUCCACAGUGCCCACCCAGAUAAGCCAAGAUAUUCUCCCCAUCUCAAGCCUUAAUAACAUCUGCAAAUCUCUUUGCCAUGUGAGGUAACAUAUUCACAGGUUUGGGGGAUUAGAAAGGAGACAUCUUUGGAGGGCUGUCUACCACAGCACUCUUAAAUCCUUCCAGUGGUUCCGCAUUGCUCUUAGAAUUAAAGCCAGACAUCUCACCUGACUUAUAAAACCCUCAGGAACCUAUUCCUGCUACCCCAUUCUGCUCACCUUGGCCUCCUUGCUGUUCCUUGAGUGCAUCAAACCUAAUCCUGCCCAAAACUCUUUCUUUUGCUUUUCCUUCUGCUCUGAGUGCCCCCCUCCCAGAUCUGCAUGUGGCCUGCCUGCUCCUUUUUGUCCUUUAGGUCUCAGCUCAAGGGUCACUCCUCAGAGAGGCUUUCUGUUGUCUAAAGUAGCUCUAGUAGAUCAUUUCAUAUUGUUUCCUUCAUAGUGCCUUAUCUCUGCUUGACGUUUUCUUGUUCACUGUAGAUUGAGCAUCUCUUAUCCAGAAUGCUUGGGACUAGAAGUGUUCCUGAUUUCAGAUUUGUAUGGAUUUUGGAAUAUUUGCAUUUUGCUGGUUCAGAAUUCCAAAUCCAGAAAUUGAAAAUCCAAAAUGCUCCAUUGAGCAUUUCCUUUGAACACCAUGUCUGUGCUCAAAAAGUUUUGGAUUUUGCAGCAUUUUGGAUUGCAGAUUUUUGAAUUUGUGAUGCUCAACCUAAAUUUGUUUGUUGUCUGCCUGCUGCAUAGGAAUGCAGGCAUCUUCAAAGCUGGGACCUUGUCUCUCCUGAAUCCCCAGCACUGGAAUUUAGCCAGUAUUUGCUGCUAUGUCAACAAGCCCCAGUUUUCUCAUUUUCCCAAUGGGUAUAAUAAUACCUUUUUUUCUCAUCAGGUUUCUUUGAGGAGCAAAUGAAAUAAUAAUAGCUACAGUUUUUAGUUGCCAAUGAUGAGUUAAGCACUGCACCAGGAACUUUAUGCUUAAGAUGUGUUGUUCAUGUCUUAGUUCAAGGCCAUGUGGUUGCAAGGAACAGAAACCCUCUCAAGCCAGCUCAAGGAAAAGGAGGUUUAUUGGAAGGUUAUAACAGACAAUCUGGUAAACAUCCAAGGAGAGGGUAAAAUGUGGGAGAGACAGGCUGCCUCUCACCUGCAUCACUCCUUCCAGGGGCAGCACAGUUCCUUAUCACCACUUCUCUCUGUGCAGCUGGGCUUUCUCUCUGAAGACUAGCUGCUUCUGCUUCCACAUGGUCACUCAUGGCUCCAAAUGGCCUCAACUCUCUGUGAGCUUAUGGCGUAGCUGCUUCGUAGCUACUGUUUCUCAGAGUCCUAAACCCCAUUCCAGGGAGAGAGAGUCCAGUUGCCCUGGAUUGAACACCUUGUCAACCCCUGGUGCCAUCACCUGUGGACAAGAUGACGAGGUCAUGAGCCGUGUGUGGCUGCCCAGCCACAUGCCCUCAGAAGGGACUGUGGAUGGGACACAAUCCCAAAGAAAGAACUAUGACUGGGCAGGCACCCCAAAACAUGUCCGUGGUAGUGCAAAGCACUGAACACACACUCCAGCUCUCAACUGACGUGAGUUCCAUCUUUUCCAACCACCUUUUCAUCUACUAGCUCAGAGUCCUCUGGCUCCAUAAUAAAUACAUCUCCAGCUUGGUUCUUAUCUUCACACCAGUCAAUACUUUAAGUUGCCUGCGGCAUAUUUCCAACACGUUUAUCCUACUAUUUCUUCAAAUUCAACCUAGGAAAAGCUGGAUUACUCUUCCUUCAGAAACUGGCUCCUUUCUGUCAAGUUCCUGCCUCUGACACAACCUGACUCUUCCAGGCAGCCUCAUGCUGAGCCCUUGGAUCUGUGAUCGGCCAUCUCAGGGCCUUGGGAAGAGGUCUUUGCCUCCCUGUCAUCUGCCUCCACUGUUGGUCUCCAUGUUAACACAUGGCACAGCAGAGCAAGACAGCUGAGGUACUUUGGAGUCAGACAAACCUGGGUUUGAUCCCCGCUCUGCCUCUUAAUCUUGUUUUGGUUUUUGGUUUGUUUUUGUUUGUUUUGAGACUGGGUCUCACUCCGUCACACAGGCUGGAGGUUAGUGUCACCACCAUGGCUCACUGCAGCCUUGAUUUUCCGGGCUCAAAUGAUCCUCCCGCCUUGGCCUCCCAAGGAGCUGGGUCUACCGACACAUGCCACCACAUCUGGCUAAUUUUUGUAUUUUGUGUGUGUGUGUGUGAAGACAGGAUCUCAUAUUGCCUAGGCUGGUCUUGAACUCCUGGGCUCAAGCAGUCCUCCCUCCUCAGCCUCCCAAAGUGCUGUGAUUACAGGUCUGAGGCACCGUGCCCUGCUCCUUUUAAUUUUGUGAUCUUGGCAAAUCUGUUUCUCUCUCUCUCUCUUUUUUUUUUUUUUUUUUUGAGACGGAGUCUUGCUCUGUCACCCAGGCUGGAGUAUAGUGUCGUGAUCUUGGCUCACUGCAACCUCCACCUCCCAGGUUCAAGCGAUUCUCCUGCCUCAGCUUCCCAAGUAGCUGGGACAGGCAUGCACCACCACGCCUGGCUAAUUUUUUUGUGUGUAUUUUUAGUAGACAUAGGGUUUCCCCACAUUGGCCAGGCUGUUCUCAAACUCCUGAUCUCAGGUGAUCCACCUGCCUCGGGCUCCCAAAGUGCUGAGAUUAUAGGCGUGAGCCACUACACCUGGCCAAAUCUCUCGAACUUGAUAGGUUAAGUGUCCCUGUAUGUCCAGUGGUGAUAAUUAUAGUUUCUGCCUUACAGGGUUGUCAUAAGAACUGAUAAAAUGCAUGUAAAGCCUGCAGAUCCACAUUUUCUCAGUGAUUGAUUAGUUUCCAGCAAUGUGCCAAGAAAACAAAGAUAAGUAAGAUAUGCUCCCUGGUUUUAAUAAACCUGAAGUUUCUUGACAAGUCUGUGUCAAACAUGGUAAUACCUUUCUUACUCCCUGCCUGACGAGGCCCUUCUGGCAAUACAUUAUUAAAAUUAAUGGUUAAUUGUAUUAUAUAACAUUAAUUAUAUGUAAGUAUAUAUUAUAUGUAAUAUGUAAGUGUAUAUUAUAUAUAAUAUAUAAUUAUAUAUAACUAGUCUCUAGUUAUAAGAGCAAUUUGUGAUUUUUUAGAAAACACAGGGGAGGGUUAGAAUCACCCUAAUUCCUCCAUUGUGGUAGAAUUCAUUCCUUCCAGAUAUGCUGCUUGGCAACGAUUAUAUCACACAUCACAUACGUCUGGAUCAAGUGUUACUUUGCAAGUAUUCAGCUAUGGCAUUAAAGAUCCUUUCAAGAACCCUUUUGAAUGGCUUCUCUAGGUGACACAGCAAAUGGAUUCCUAAGUAUGCAUCCAUUCUCCCGGGUAAACCACGAGUCUCAAAAAGUAGGCAGCAGGCUGGACCCGGUGGCACACGCAUGGAAUCCCAGCGCUUUGGGAGGCCAAGGCAGGAAGUUGCUUGAGGCCAGGAGUGCAAAACCAACAUGGCGAGACUCUGUCUGUAUAAGAAAUAAAAUAAAUUAUCCAGG